rnacentral:ncRNA from 1 species
GUCACGCGUGGAAAAUAGUUGCGGAACACGAAGCCGCGACAUUGGUCGAUGAGGUGGAACAGAGGGUUCCAGUCAAACAUCUUCAGCAUAAAGGGAGGCAACGCGUUGGCAACGAACAUCUUGCCCGAGAAGACCAUGUUCAUCCGCCG